AUUGAACGCUGGCGGCAUGCCUUACACAUGCAAGUCGAACGGCAGCGGACCUUCGGGUGCCGGCGAGUGGCGAACGGGUGAGUAAUGCAUCGGAACGUGCCAUUGAGGUGGGGGAUAACGUAGCGAAAGUUACGCUAAUACCGCAUAAGCCCUGAGGGGGAAAGCAGGGGAUCGCAAGACCUUGCGCGAAUGGAGCGGCCGAUGUCAGAUUAGCUAGUUGGUGGGGUAAAGGCCUACCAAGGCGACGAUCUGUAGCGGGUCUGAGAGGAUGAUCCGCCACACUGGGACUGAGACACGGCCCAGACUCCUACGGGAGGCAGCAGUGGGGAAUUUUGGACAAUGGGCGCAAGCCUGAUCCAGCCAUGCCGCGUGUGGGAUGACGGCCUUCGGGUUGUAAACCACUGUCGGAAGGGACGAAUGCCCCGCAAGGGGAGUGACGGUACCUUCAAAGGAAGCACCGGCUAACUCCGUG
rnacentral:rRNA from 1 species